GCAUGCGGGUGGUUCAUUAAGGCAGAUGUGAAAGCCCGGGGAUCAACCUCGGAACUGCAUUUGAAACUGGUGAACUAGAGUACUGUAGAGGGGGGUAGAAUUUCAGGUGUAGCGGUGAAAUGCGUAGAGAUCUGAAGGAAUACCAGUGGCGAAGGCGGCCCCCUGGACAGAUACUGACACUCAGAUGCGAAAGCGUGGGGAGCAAACAGGAUUAGAUACCCUGGUAGUCCACGCCGUAAACGAUGUCUACUUGGAGGUUGUGGCCUUGAGCCGUGGCUUUCGGAGCUAACGCGUUAAGUAGACCGCCUGGGGAGUACGGUCGCAAGAUUAAAACUCAAAUGAAUUGACGGGGGCCCGCACAAGCGGUGGAGCAUGUGGUUUAAUUCGAUGCAACGCGAAGAACCUUACCUACUCUUGACAUCCAGAGAAGCCAGCGGAGACGCAGGUGUGCCUUCGGGAGCUCUGAGACAGGUGCUGCAAGGCUGUCGUCAGCUCGUGUUGUGAAAUGUUGGGUUAAGUCCCGCAACGAGCGCAACCCUUAUCCUUGUUUGCCAGCGAGUAAUGUCGGGAACUCCAGGGAGACUGCCGGUGAUAAACCGGGAGGAAGGUGGGGACGACGUCAAGUCAUCAUGGCCCUUACGAGUAGGGCUACACACGUGCUACAAUGGCGCAUACAGAGGGCAGCAAGCUAGCGAUAGUGAGCGAAUCCCAA
rnacentral:rRNA from 1 species